rnacentral:tRNA from 1 species
GCCCGGAUGGUGGAACGGUAGACACAAGGGACUUAAAAUCCCUAGCCCGAAAGGGCGUGCGGGUUCAAAUCCCGCUCCGGGUA